rnacentral:rRNA from 1 species
UACGAAGGGGGCUAGCGUUGCUCGGAAUUACUGGGCGUAAAGGGCGUGUAGGCGGGACAGUAAGUCGGGCGUGAAAUCCCUGGGCUCAACCCAGGAACUGCACUCGAAACUACUAUUCUUGAGUGUCGGAGAGGAAAGCGGAAUUCCUGGUGUAGAGGUGAAAUUCGUAGAUAUCAGGAGGAACACCAGUGGCGAAGGCGGCUUUCUGGACGAUAACUGA